UGGGGAAUAUUGCACAAUGGGGGAAACCCUGAUGCAGCGACGCCGCGUGAGCGAUGAAGUAUCUCGGUAUGUAAAGCUCUAUCAGCAGGGAAGAAAGUGACAGUACCUGACUAAGAAGCCCCGGCUAACUACGUGCCAGCAGCCGCGGUAAUACGUAGGGGGCAAGCGUUAUCCGGAUUCACUGGGCGUAAAGGGAGCGCAGGCGGCACGGCAAGUCUGGUGUGAAAACCCGGGGCUCAACCCCGGGACUGCAUUGGAAACUGCCGGGCUGGAGUGUCGGAGGGGUAAGCGGAAUUCCUAGUGUAGCGGUGAAAUGCGUAGAUAUUAGGAGGAACACCAGUGGCGAAGGCGGCUUACUGGACUGUAACUGACGUUGAGGCUCGAAAGCGUGGGGAGCAAACAGG
rnacentral:rRNA from 1 species